CGGAGUGUAGCUCAGCCUGGUAGAGCACCGCCUUCGGGAGGCGGGGGUCGGGCGUUCAAAUCGCCCCACUCCGACCA
rnacentral:tRNA from 1 species